UGAGGAAUAUUGGUCAAUGGGCGCAAGCCUGAACCAGCCAAGUCGCGUGAGGGAAGACGGUCCUAUGGAUUGUAAACCUCUUUUGUCAGGGAGCAAGCGCGGGACGCGUCCCGUAGCUGAGAGUACCUGAAGAAAAAGCAUCGGCUAACUCCGUGCCAGCAGCCGCGGUAAUACGGAGGAUGCGAGCGUUAUCCGGAUUUAUUGGGUGUAAAGGGAGCGCAGACGGCAUGGCAAGCCAGAUGUGAAAGGUGGGGGCUCAACCCCCAAGCUGCAUUUGGAACUGUCAAGCUAGAGUAUCGGAGAGGUAAGUGGAAUUCCUAGUGUAGCGGUGAAAUGCGUAGAUAUUAGGAGGAACACCAGUGGCGAAGGCGGCUUACUGGACGAUAACUGACGUUGAGGCUCGAAAGCGU
rnacentral:rRNA from 1 species